GCCUACGGCCAUACCACCCUGAACACGCCCGAUCUCGGAAGCUAAGCAGGGUCGGGCCUGGUUAGUACUUGGAUGGGAAAAUUGAGGUGUAUAUU
rnacentral:rRNA from 1 species